CUUCUACAACAUGUCUAAAGUGCGUCUCCCAACCAUACAACUUCAGUACUUUCAUGUUAGUCACUGCCUCCGUAAUGGCCUUGAGCCUUAUGUCUUGUGCUACCAUGAGUUUUGUCAGGUACCUGUGUUGCAGUUUAACCAUUGGAGUAUUUACCACUAUUAUUAGAAUCACUGCUAGUAGGGCUGCAAUUGUCGCUUUGCCUACAGUAUAGUAAAUGACAAGAAGUGCAAGACAUAAUUGCAGACUCGUUGCCCAUAUCCGAUGAAAAAAACAUGGAAAUUCACCAAUUCUAUAAGCAUCUACUGUGACAUAAUUCAGAAUCUGGCCCCCAGAAUGAAUUGCUUUAGCAGCAGUUGAUAGUCUGAGUUGCUUCUGGUAAAUUGCUGCAGAGAGCGUAGAUCUUACUUGGACUCCAAUCAGUCUUGUUUGAAAGUUCCAUUGUCUUUCCGAAAGUGAUUCCAUACCUUUGGCCAAAAAUAAGCCUGCGGCUAGUGCAUAGCCCUCGUAUUUAAAAGACUCCUUGCCUUGAGCAACCUGAAUGAAAGCUUUAAGUAGCAGAGGACCAGAAGCAAGUGCAAUUACCUUGAUCAAUGCAAAAAGACCGGACACUAAGAUCGCUUUAAGCUGCCAGAUAAAUAUAGUUGAUAAAAUUGGAAGAGAGCCAGAGGUUCCUUUUUUUGUCUGUGCUGUCAGUUGCUCCAUAAACUUGGAGUAACACGUCUCUGCACGAUCUUCAUGCUUUAAUUUCGGAAGAUCAAUGUCCUCCAAAACUUUAAUUUUACCCUUCUUCAGUAGCGGGUUCAACCACCAGAAGGACAUUAUACUCAGAAUUCCUGCAUUACUGAAAGGAGUAACAUUUUCAACCUCGUUGAUUUUUAUGUCAUCGCCAGCCUCUUCACCUUGCGAACGUACAGAGGGUGUCUUCUUCAAUUCUUGUUUCCAUUUCUGCAUAUUUAAAAUUCCACAAAAACACGUAAGGAAAAUAUAUAUAAUUGCUCCUGGUCAAGUUAAGAAGAGGGCUGACAGAGGCUUGAAACCCUAAGAUAACACCGCUAGCCACUGAUGCCAACAAUCUGGACUAGGUACUCCCAAGAGUAAGAGAUUGUUUUCAUUAAGACCACGGUUUUUAAAAAAUUAAUCUUUGAAAUGUCAUAAAUUAAGAAAAUUAUCCCACUAAAGAAAACUAUCAUAUUUCUUACACAAGCUUGUACAAGUCAGUAAAUUUCAACUUACAAAUACAAAACCAUGAUUAACAUUCUGAAAAUGCUAGAUACCCAAAAAUUGUUCCGAAAUCUAGUUAGACAAUAUAUGAUUGGUUCCACCACACUAAUAAUAAUAAUAAUAAUAAUGGGAUCUUUAUACGCACAUAAUCUGUCCAAUUAAAAUCAACCAUUUGUCGGUUACAUCAUUUAAGGAAAAAAAAAUUAUGAACAACAUUUGUGAUAAGUAACAUUACUCCUAACAUUCAACCAGGAGCAAAAAACCAUCAUGCAUACAAGAACACUAGCGCCUUCUGUUUUUCAAUAAUGACACACUCACGCACCCGUCUUGUCGUUAUCUGUCUAUGUUAUGAACCCACAAGUGAAUGAGUAAAGAACACACACCUUCUACGAUCGACUUGAAGCAAAUGCAGAUAUCAUAUAGAGGAAGAACGGAAGAUUCUUGAGAGUCGAAGUAUGAUUAAGCAGAUUCUCCAACGACAAGGAUUUAAUAUGUAAUGUAUUAACCAUUACAGUGAAUUAUUACUAUAACUAGAAAAUGGAGAAAAUGCCCCAUAUGCGAAUCAUUACAUGUGAAACGAUUUCAAUUUUAAAACAAACUUAAAAUCGCCAAUAAUGCAAUUUAAUAUGUUGAUGAACGUCUAAUUAUAAUGGUCAUUUCCAUUAUUGGAGCAAUUUAAUCUGAUGUAUGACCUUGCACAGGGCGGAACUAGGGCUGAGCAUUCGGUCGGUUCGGUCCAGAACCGGACCGGACCGAACGGACCGAGAACCGAACUUUGAAAAUUUUCUGGACCGGACCGGACCGAAGUUUGCAUAUGGACCGAACCGGGACCGAACCGAAAUAAUUCGGUCGGUCCGGUCCGGUCCGCCAGAACCGAAUUAAAAAAAAAAUUAAUCUGUAUUUACAAAAAAAAUCAGCAAGCAUGAUAAAAGAGAAAAAAGAUAGUACCACCAAUCCACAUCCACCACAGAUAAUCUAGAGAGCUAACAUUCAAAGCACAACUCCAAAAUAGUCAUAAGUUUAUAAAUUUUAAAAACCACCACAGUAGUCUCAAGUCUGCUAGUUCAAAAAUAAAAUAAAUAGUCUGCUACUACUAGUCUUCAACUCUUCAUCAUUUUGUUUGUCCGCUGAUGCUCUGCUGCUCAUGUUCAUGGAACUAACUCAUGCUGUCAUGCUCGAUUAGGUAUGCGUAUGCUCGAUUAGAUUAGGUAUAGAGAGUCUCGACGGUGAAUAUAGUCUAUAGAUAUUAGAUAGUAUAAUUAUAAUAUGGUAUUUAAAAUAUAAAAUAAAAUUAUUAUUUAUAUUAUAUAUAAAAGUUCGGUCCAUUCGGUCCAGGACCGAAAUUUUUCGAUGGGGACCGGACCGGACCGUAUUUUAUUUCGGUCCGGACCGAAAUACCCGAACGGACCGAAUUUUCAGAAAAUUAGGACCGAACCGGACCGAAAUUAUUCGGUCCGGUCCGGUUUUUCGGUUUCGGUUCGGUUCUGCUCAGCCCUAGGCGGAACCAAGGGGGGGCUAGCCCCAGCGCCAGCCCCGGCUGAGAAAAAAAUUAAUAAGUAAAAUAUAUAUAUAUUCAACUUUUUAGCCCGGGGGCAAAUUUAAAAAUGAUUAUAUAUAUAAAAAAUUAGCUCAAAUUGAAAUUACAUUUCUCUGAAAUGGACUAGGUUUUGUUAACAAAUCAGCUGGAUAAUUUCAUUUAUGAUGUGCAAAAUGAUAAUAGUUUCUCUGAGUUUCAAAAUAUUGCAGAGCUUGCUAUUAAGAUGGUCGGAACACAUAGAAGUACAACUUAUCCUUUGGUUUACCGUCUCACUGGGCUAGCUUUGAUUUUAACUGUCGCAACAACUACUGUUGAAAGAGUGUUUUCUGCAAUGAAAAUACUUAAGACUUAUUUGCGUAACAGGAUGGGGAUGAGUGGUUGAACGAUAGCAUGCUGGUUUACAUCGAGAAGGUCAUAUUUAGAGACAUAAACGACGAAAUUAUCUUACAAGGCUAUCAAAUUAUGCAAAAUCGUAGAGUUCAAUUGUAGUUUAGCCCGGGGUCAAAAUUAAUCCUGGUUCCGCCACUGACCUUGCAGCAGCAUGAGCAUCUAUAGUGAUAGUUAAUUUAAUCUGAUGUGUCUUGAGGUCUGAAGAAAUAUUUCUCUACAGAGUUGGUAAAACAUAUACUACCACGUUCUUUUAAUUUUGGCACAUUCCUAAGACUUUUACAUUAUAAUUAAAAUUAUUAUUUUUAUAAUUUUUUAUUUAAAUUAUAUCAAUCAUAUAAUUUUAUUCCGAAAUUUAUCUUUCCAAAAAUAAUGAGUUUAAUUCUAUGAUUAAACGACUAAAAAAAUACAUGUCAACAAGGAAAGCGACUAUAUUUUAAAUCAACCGAAAUAAUUCACACGAUACGAAAUAUUAUAAUAAUAACAUAAUGUUCUUUUGAAAAGAAAUAUGACACAUUUUUUAUUCUUUAUUAUUCAAUCAACAAUUUUUUUAAUAAGACAACUGAGUGUGUUUGCCCGGAUUUUAUAUUUGAAUUUUAAGCUAUUUUAGACUCUAAACUGUAUGUCUGCGUGAUAAGUAAGAGUUAAAUUUAGAAGUCGGUAGGAUGUACUUUUUUAAUCAUUUUAUAUUAUUUUAAUGUUUUUUAUAAAAAUCAAUUUCAACCCUAGAAUAAACUAUCAAAUUUUUUUAAUAACUCAUAAGUCAUUUAAAAUAUAAAUUAUCCAAACAGACAACCUAAACUAAGCACUUAUCACAAUAAGGAGCUGCAUGGCUUAUUUUAUUUAUAAAUGAAAAAUAAUUUUUAAUUUAUCUAUUUGGAUAUAUUUUUUGAUUUUUACGGCUUAUUGAGUAUAAUAAUUAUUAACAUAAUAACAAAAUAUUAUAAAUUAUUUUUAGAAUGGUCCUUUACAUUUUUCUAAAAUCAAAUUUCAAAAUACAAAUAAGUUAGUCUCGACUUGAUAUGACUUAUAAGCUGGGAGUUGACUUAUAUAUUAUUUACAUAAAUGGAAUGAAAAAUUGUUGAAUGGUUCCCACGGAUAUAAUUCUAAAUUAAUAAUAAAUUUUAAUCAAUAAAAAUAUACUUUAAUGUGUUCAUUAUAAUAAAUAAAAUUAUAUGAUAUCAACCUUUUUCUUUUCUUACAAAAUUGGUAGAAUAAUUACGAAGUUUGUAAUUUAUAAUAAAAUAAUACAAAAACUUACGAAUACACAAUAACGAUUUCAAACUAUAAAAUUCAGAAAAAUAAUAAAGAGAUUUCAUGAUAUUUAUAAUAAAUUACUUAUUACGACUAAUAUAAAUUUUUGUGAUUCAUGAAGUUUCAUAGUAUAUAUUCAUGUACUAAUUGUAUUGUACAAUUAAAACAAAAUCAUAAUAAUUAAAUAAUUAAAAGAUAUAUAAUAUAAUGUAAAAUAAGUAUAAUAUUGUAAUAAUUAAAAAGAGUAACAAAAGUAAAGAUCAAAAUAUUUGAACCAUUCGGACACAGUUUAAAGGCAGGGUGGUUCAGAGGAAAAUUUGUGUAUUUUAAGUUUUUAACUACCGAUUCAACUAGUGUCAUUAGUGAAUAAAAAACAAAUGACUCCUGAGUCAUUCUAAAUUAUACUGUACAAGUCACCCCUAAAUUAUUACUCUCGUCCCUUCCAUUUCUUUACAUUUGUGUCCCACCCAAUUGUUUACAUUUCAAAACUUACCAAAAAUAGUCUAUGGGUCCCGCCACUUCUCCACUUUUCUUUCCAUUUCACACUAUUUUUACUCCACUAUCUUCUUUUUAUACACAAAAAAUCAAUAGGUCCCACUACUUCAUCCAUUUUUCUUUCUCUUUUCUCUCUACUUUAUACAUAAUUCUUAACUUCCGUGUCCAACUCAUUUGAUAAUAAACUAGUUGAGAAACCGCGCGUUGCGGCGGCCUAUAAAAAUUAUAUUAAUGAUUCUUAUAUUAUAAAAAUCUUGAUGUAAUACCAAUACUAAUAUAUAAAAUUGCGAAAUUGGACUAUAAUUCAUGGUGAAAAAUUGAAAAUAAAUUUGUACACGUAAUUAACAAUUUAAAGCAUAAUGAAUCUUAAUUUUAUUUGUUUUUUUUAAAAAUAAUCAUGUUCUUACAUUGUCACCUUCCUCCAAUUUUUUUGGAUUGAUUGUGCAUAAAAACAUCUAACUUAAUUAAAUCUGCGAGAUAGCAGUCUAUAACUACCCUCUUAAAAGUUGCUUGAACGGAGCAAACAGAUAAUGCAUGAAUAAUAUUUUCAUGUAUACAAAGUAAAUCAUAUAAAAAUUAACAACAACAAACAUGUCCGAUGAACAAAACAAAUAUUAUAAAAGAAUAACCAACAAACAUACAUCACUAAUAGUUAAUUUAUUAAUAUCAACCAUCAAUAUCAUGUCAAGACUACAUUCUUUUCUCGUGUUUGGAUUUGUCGACUCCAAUAUAACGGUCUAUAACUACCUUUGCUUGCUACAACUUUUAUUUUUUUAAUACUGUAUAAACAACCUUCACUCAUCGUUGAAGAAGAACGGCACCUCCGAGUUAGAAAUCGAGCAAGAGAACUAUCACCAGAGAGAGGUAGGGUUAUGGUAUUGAGAGAGAGGAGGUUGUGUUUAGAUGAUCUAAAACCCUACAAUCUAUAGGGGUAUUUAUAGGUGCAGAAAGACUUGUGUGCUACUCUUUCCUAUAAUUAAAUAAUUUGAAACAAAAUCAGAUUAAAACUUUCAAGCUAUUAUAUUCCAUAAAUAAUCUGUUUUUCCCAUAAUUAAAUAAUCUGAAACAAAUUCAGAUUAAAACUUUUAAGCUACUAUAUUCCAUAAAUAAUUUAAAACAAAAUUAGAUUUUGAAACGUGCUUCUAAUAUACCCGAAACUAAAGAAGGUAGUUCUAAUUUUUAAUAUUUUUCAUCCAAAAAAUCCAGAAAAUUAGAAAAAUAGAACGGAGCGAUGUGAGAGGCGCCACCUACAUGCCCCUCACUUCUCCUUUAUAUAGGUAAUCGAGCAAUAGAACUAUCACCAGAGAGAGUUAGGGUUGUGGUAUUGAGAAAGAGGAGGUUGUGUUUAGAUGAUCUAAAACCCUACAAUCUAUAGGGGUAUUUAUAGGUGCAGAGAGACUUGUGUGCUACUCUUUCCUAUAAUUAAAUAAUUUGAAACAAAAUCAGAUUAAAACUUUCAAGCUAUUAUAUUCCAUAAAUAAUCUGUUUUUCCCAUAAUUAAAUAAUCUGAAACAAAUUCAGAUUAAAACUUUUAAGCUACUAUAUUCCAUAAAUAAUUUAAAACAAAAUUAGAUUUUGAAACGUGCUUCUAAUAUACCCGAAACUAAAGAAGGUAAUUCUAAUUUUUAAUAUUUUUCAUCCAAAAAAUCCUGAAAAUUAGAAAAAUAGAAUGGAGCGAUGUGAGAGGCGCCACCUACACGCCCCUCGCUUCUCCUUUAUAUAAGUAUAUUGAUCGGAGGGAGGGAGGGAGUAGAAGUUACUACUACUCGUAUAAUUUUAUAAGUCGGCUUAAACGAAUCGAAAAAUAUCAACUUGAUCCCCCUUUGUAUGUUUUAUGAAAAUAAUAUCUUUUACAAUGACGUCAGUCAUGUGACAAAAUUAACCAGCCGAUGCGAUCCAAUUGAACAAUUUAUAAUGUUGGUUGAUGUCGCCUGAAUAAGACCAAUAUUCCUUAGUUAACUUCCUGAACAGCGAACCUUCCCUACUUAACAGUUUAUUAGGCUCAUCGUAUACUCCACCAACUCUCAUGCAUUUUUUUUAAAAAAAUUAUAAACAAAGAACUCUUUGUUCGAGAUAUAAAUUUUAAAUUACUUUGCAUAUAUUGAGUUGAAAUGAACGAAAUUCAUGUCUCAAUCCAUGUAACUUUGUACCGAAGGAGAAAUCAGAAAUUCUCAGGCUCUUUUCGCAGUAGCUUCUUAUGCAAAUUUCUUGUAAUAUCACUAAUUUUAAGGAAAAUAAUAUAUUUAGCAUAAUGUAAUAUAUAUCAAAGUAACGUUUUAUAAAUACAUGGCCAAUAAUGUCAGCAAUACGCUAUUAUAGAAUGAUAAUAACAUAAAUUGUCCUUGCCCGAAUGGAUAUCAAGCUAACCCGAAUUUAAAAGAAAUUCAUCAUCCGAUCGGAUUUUAUGAAAGCGUUUUUAUGAGAAAGGAAAAAACCCUAGCUAAUUGCCCGAGACGAAGUUAUACACUCAAAAGUAAAAUGACAACCCUAAUUAAAGGUUUUAGCAGAGCAAAAAGAAAGAGCAUGGGUAAGCAAAUCCUUGUUUUAUCUUCAGGUGUGCCUAUUGCUCAAUGCUCUGCAUUUGCUUGUGUUGUGUAUGUAUGCAUGCAUGGAAUUUGGUGGCAAUAUACCGGUUGUCUAGAUUGAGUUCGGUUAACAAGAGAAUGGGAACCUCGUGUUGGUGUUUUCACAAGAGGUUUAAGGGUCUGUUUGGGAGUGCUGUUAAAAAUUAUUGUGCUGUCAGAAAAAGUGCUGAUAAAAAAUGUGCUGUUGUAAAAAUCAGAUAACUGUUUGGUAAUUCUUUUUGAUAUUUGUUUAUUUUUAGUUAUAAUAUAAAAUAAUAAUGUUUUUGAUGAGGUUUGAUAAUAAAAUCUAUAACAGCUUUCUACAAAAACUAAAAAGCAGCUUUUUCCAAAAGCAUGGGGACCUGUUUUUUCUAAAAACAACUUUUCAGCUAAAAGUUGUUAUCGGAAAAGUUACUUUUAGAUUUACCAAACAGUUUUGCAGCUGUUUUUCAGCGAAAAGCUAAUCUUGUUAUCGGCAACAGCAACGCCAAAAAGUACUAAAUAAGCAAAUUAUUAUAUGGAAUGGGAAUCUUAUUCCAAUUUUGGGGUAACCAAACCUAAUAGCCUCCAUUCCCAUGCCCCACUUUCCCAUUCCCCCCACAAUCCAAAUGCCCCGUACAGCCGUACUAUAUGUUAUGCAUGCAAGUAUUCUCUGAGCCAUAGCUCUGGUUAUCACUCUACAACCCUGAAAUUCUUUAAAUUGUUUGAUGUUGUUUGUGGGCACCAGAAUAAGACCAGUAUUCCUCAACUAGCUUCCUGAACAGCGAGCCAUCCCGAUUCAACAAUUUAUUGGGCUCAUCAUACUCCACCAUCUCUCCUGCAUUUUCCAAAACAAAAAAUCACUAUAACAAAUAUUUUCAUGACUAACACUUACAUACUGAUGUAUGUGCUUAAAAAGUUACCAUUUCUCAUGGAAAGCACCAUUGUGCAGUCAAUCACAGUUGGUAUUCUGUGAGCCACUGUUAUCACGGUGCAGCCUGCAAAUUCCAUCCUUAUGGUUUUCUGUAUUAUAGUGUCUGUUGCAUUGUCAAUUGAUGCUGUUGCUUCAUCAAGAACUAGGAUCUUCCUCCUCUUUAAUAAUGCCCGUCCCAGGCAAAAUAACUGACAUUGUCCCAGGCUCCAAUUUGAUCCGUCCUCCACAACUGCCAUUCAUCUUUAUGUUAGUAACAAACACAGAGGUAUGUAUAUUCUUUACUUAGCUUUUUACAGAACUGUUUUCUUACCCAAGGAGUUCAGCCCUUCUUCUUUCUCUUGAACAGCCUCUCGGAGGUGACAUUUCUCAAGAACCUUCCUCGCAUUACAUAGUUACACACAAAGUAGUGUCAUUUUUUUUAUAGGAAAUGAAAACAAAGAUUGGACUCCGAAUGAGCAACUGGAUAAUAGUUUACCUGCCAAAUUUCACUAUCAGUAUGCUCAAAGAGGGGGUCUAUGUUAUAUCUGACGGAACCACUGAAAAGUGUUGGAUCUUGUGGGAUGAUGCUAAGCUGUGUUCUGAGGUCAUGAAGCCCAAUUUUAGAGAUAUCUAUGUCAUCUAUUAUUAUCUUUCCAGCCGUAGGUUCUACAAGGCGAAACAAGGCACUUAUCAAAGUUGUCUUCCCACUACCAGUCCUGCCAACAAUUCCAAUUCUAUGUCCUCCUUCAAAGAUGCAACUGAUUCCACGCAAAACUAGAGGCGCAUUUUGUCGGUAUUUUACCUGCUUAAUUCAGACUUUUCAUUAUGUACCAGUAUCUACAAACAUAAAUUUAUGAACAAAAUAAACCACAAAAGAGACACUGAUACCUUUAGAUUGUUGAUUUCUACUCUCCCAGAAACUGGCCAGUUAAGUGGAGGACGGUUAUCUUCUAGUUUUUCGGGGGCCUCACUAGGAAUGUGCAUGCACUGUUCUAGCCUCUCCACGGAAAUGAUGAAAUUUGACAGCAUGCAGUGCAUAUUUAUAGCAUAUACAAGGAAUUCAUUCAUUGAAAGGGCGUAUGAUAGAGCCAUCCCGACAUAUCCUGUAAUUUAUAAGUAAGUGAUAGACGCACUUAGCUCUGUUUUAGUCCUCGGAUGACAAUAAAACUGAACAAGACACUUUCAAGCUCACAAAUGGAGCUGCACCAACAUGAAAAAAAAUUUGUGCAAUAUAAAAGAAGAUACCUAACCUGAUUUAGAAGCUCCAAGAGGCAUCAAAGUCAUGCCAAGUGCAGAGAAUGAGACGAUAACUGCACAUAAUCCUUCCAGAUGUAGUAUCAACCACUCAUUUGCUGAAAAACUGUGGAAGUAUGGAAUUGAGUUUGCAUCAAUAAGACGGAAGUUUUCAGAAAUAAACCUAUUUUCUUCUUUAAAGGCUCUGAUGGUCACCGCUCCAGCAAUUGACUCGGCAAGCUGGCUUGCAACUGAAGACUUUGUCGUGCCAUUAAUACGCAUCAACUCAUUAGCCGAAGCUAAGUAGAAUUUCUGCAAGUUCAGUUACAAGAAUCUUGAGUUCUUUCUAAAAGAGUAUUUUACAUUUCUUAGCAGUGUUGUAAAAUUACCUGUAAAACUAUGGUAAUAUAAACUGUGGGAAUGAUGAGAAAUAAGAUAGGCCAGGUGAGUACAGCCAAUAUUCCAAAGCUGAGACACGUGUUCAAUGCUGAUCCGAUUGCAGUUGCAAAUUUUAUUGCCACUUCAAGGUCUAUGAUACUCAGAUCAGAAGAUAACUAUUGAAAGUAUUAAAUAUGUAAGUCAUAUGAUGAUCGUAUUAUCACGACUGUAAUGUAAAUUUGGCUAAUUUAGAUAUCCUUACCCGGCUCAGUAUCCUUCCAACAGGUGUCGAAUCAAAGUAGGACAUAGGUGCUCGAAAGAUUGACACUACUGCCUUGGAAAAAAUAGAUUCCGACGCCUUAGUACUUAAUUCAACUACUACAUAAGAUCUUAUAAGUAGGCACACUGACAUUACACACCCAAUCCCAGUGUAUACUGCAUUUAGUAUGACAAUGCUUAUAGCGGGAUUUUGAAGUUCAGCAGCCAACCAAACACCUUGACCUAAUUGACCAACUAUGAAUAACAUAUGGAAUAUGACUGAUAGUGAAAGGUAUAAGAAUCCCUGGUUUUGCUUUAAGUAUUGUUUGUAAGGUUUUAGACCGCGGUCUCCGGUCUCUUUCUGCUCUUUUUCAAUCAACUGGUCUCCCAGCCCUUUGUGAAGCUCUUCUUCAACAUCAAUUUCUUGUAUCUCUUGGUUGGAAACUGUAGGACUUUGUGGAGAACUAUAACUCAUUCGUCCUUCCGGAUUGGUAGCAUCACUUUUCACAAUCAAAAGAUUUUGAAAAUCUGGACUAUGAACUAACUGCUGGUACUUAUCAGCUUGCAGGAUUUUCCCUUCAGACAUUAGCUGCCAAAAACAAUUGCUUCUUAUUUUCUGAAUAUGUAUCACUAUUAAAUGGAUUCGAAAAAUGAAAGACAUUAAUAAUCCCUCAUUCUUCUCUACUGUAAAAGGGAAAACAAUAUCUCAUGUUUUGAUUAAAAUUACUAACCAGAAUAAUAUCAAAAACAGGGAGGAAGUCAACUUGGUGGGUGACAAGCAUAACCGUUUUUUCUGAUAAUGCUCCCAUGACAUACUCCUGCAAAAAUCAAAAUUUGUCCAUAAAACAAAGGAAAAUCUUUGAAAUGGAACUGAAAUUAGCUUAAAACAUAGGUCACAUUAAAUAAGCUGGUUGCAGUAUGUGCAUCCACAGCGCUAAAUGGAUCAUCAAGAAGGUAUAUAUCUGCAUCUUGAUAUAGUGCACGAGCAAGUUGAACCCGCUGUUUCUGCCCACCGCUGAGGUUAACACCUCUUUCCCCUAUUACUGUCUGAUCACCACAUGGAAGAAUUUGCAGGUCCUGUACAAGUGAACAUCUUUUUAGUACUUUAUGGUACUUUUCUUGAUCCAUAGAUGACCCGAAGAGUAUAUUCUCUUGUAUAGUGCCUGUUUGGAUCCAUGCUGUCUGAGCAACAUAAGCUACCUUUCCAUCCACCUGGACCUAUAAAAUUCAGAAGUACUCAUUUCAGUUGAACCGGUGAGAAAACACAUUGCAAAGCUGCAUGUUUAUAAAUUGAGAUUUAUAUGUUAGUCAAAUUCUGCAGGAACAUCUUUGAGAAUGUGUGUUACUUCUGAUUUAUAUUAUAAUUUUAAUAUUUAGGAGGAGAAAUCAUUUGUGACUCACCGUGCCCUUAGUGCAUGAAACUUCUCCAAGAAUUGCAGCUAAAAGGGUUGAUUUACCUGAGCCAACUUCUCCGCAAAUUGCAACCUUCUCGCCAGAUUGUAUAUUCAAAUUUAUAUUCUCCAGAGUGAGCUUUGAGGAAUUGAUAUCCCAUGAUAAACUUGCUUCUUUAAUUAAUAUAGACUGUGCAAUUACCUUGCAAUGACCUUCACUUCUUUUUUGCAAUUCAGAUUCCUCAAGGAACUGCUGGAUACGAGUUAAUGCAACCUUUGCUUCAAUGAAACUUCCUACAACAUCAGGUAAAAGCCUAAUAUGCUCUUGGACAAUACGGAUUGUUGCAAGAAAUGUAAACACGUUGCUAGUAUCUAGAGGAACUCCCAUCAGAUAGCAUGCCCAGAAAGUUACUACUGUAAUUACGAGAGGGGAUGACCAAAAGAGUGCUAGGUAAUAGCCUCUUUGUGUCAGAAUUGCGGACAACCACCUUUCUUCUUCUUUCCUCAAUCCUUCUACAACAUGUCUAAAGUGGGUCUCCCAACCAUACAACUUCAGUACUUUCAUGUUUGUCACUGCCUCCGUGAUGGCCUUGAGCCUUAUGUCUUGUGUUACCAUGAGUUUUGUCAGGUACCUGUGUUGCAAUUUAACCAUUGGAGAAUUUCCGACUAUUAUUAAAAUCACUGCUAGUAGAGCUGCAAUUGUCGCUUUGCCUACAGUAUAGUAAAUGACAAGAAGAGCAAGACAUAAUU
rnacentral:lncRNA from 1 species